GCAGCCUCCACUAUCAAGAGAGAGAUUUUCAGAGUUUGGAAGUGGCUCCUACCCUCUGUUACCUUGAUGAAAUAUAAACAUGAUUAUAAGAAGAUUUCACAUUGAAUCCGAAACUUCCAACCUCUUGUCUGUGGUCCAGACAAGGAGCAUAUCUGUCUGGAUAUUCCUCUUCUUGAAGAGUACCAAGAGCAGCCAAGAGAUCAAGUCUCAGACUGCGAUGUUUAAUCCAUGGGAUUUGGCAGAAAAUAGAGACCAAGACACACAGUUAAAAUCCGUUGAGUGAAGAAAGCAAUCAGGAAGUGGUCUUAGAGAAACAUGGGGCUUGUGCUGACAUUUACAACGAGCAGAUGAAGUGUGUCUCCAGCUCAGAGGGUCAGCCUAUUCAGUCACCCUCUACAACAAAGUGGAAAUUAUCUAGAAGAAGAUGAAAGAAGAUCCCAUGUAGCGAGAAA